rnacentral:rRNA from 1 species
UACGAAGGGUGCAAGCGUUACUCGGAAUUACUGGGCGUAAAGCGUGCGUAGGUGGUUCGUUAAGUCUGAUGUGAAAGCCCUGGGCUCAACCUGGGAAUUGCAUUGGAUACUGGCGAGCUAGAGUGCGGUAGAGGAUGGCGGAAUUCCCGGUGUAGCAGUGAAAUGCGUAGAGAUCGGGAGGAACAUCUGUGGCGAAGGCGGCUCUCUGGCCAUCAACUGACGCUGAGACGCGAAAGCGUGGGGAGCAAACAGG